ACUGGUGUGAUGGGCGUCAGGUGGAGCUUGAAGUAAGAGGCCGAUUCAGGCCUUCUCCUGGAGACCCUCCAGCUCACUCAGCCUUGGGCCAGCAGGUCAUUCUGAAGUUAAGUGAAGACAACAACAACAGCUGCAGCCUUUGUUGAGGUCCAGACUGCCAGCCGCUGAGCAGGCCCCAGCCACGCACUGCAUUCUGUGCAGAUGCUGGGCAGGGAUGAACAUCCAGGUUUGUAUCCUGCUUAUGCCACUUAUUAGCUGUGUCAGACCUCUCUUCAGCCUCAGCUUCCUCACCUGUCAACUUCACACAGCUGGAGAUGGGCAACUGACCAAUCAGAUGCUCUCACCGGGGGACUGGAACUCUUUAAGUGUCGUCAUGCAGGAAGGCAGUUAUAGCUGAGUCAUCCUGCGAAGGGGAAUUUCCUGGAGCAACUCCUGCUUCAUCCCUACCAGGGUCUGGUAUGAAACUCACACUUCCAGCGUCUGAGCUUGGCCGGUUUCGCCCCAUUGAGCCUCUCAUUGCAGCCAAGUAUUCCUCCUGAAGAAACAGCCUCAGG
ensembl:lncRNA